GGGGGUGUAGCUCAGUGGUAGAGCGUUCGCUUUGCAUGUGAAAGGCCCGGGGUUCAAUCAAUCCCCCGCACCUCCA